rnacentral:rRNA from 1 species
CCUACGGGGGGCUGCAGUCGAGAAUCUUCGGCAAUGGGCGCAAGCCUGACCGAGCGACGCCGCGUGCGGGAGGAAGGCCUUCGGGUUGUAAACCGCUGUCAGAGGGGCGCAAAUGCCUAGGGGUUCUCUCCUAGGUUUGAGCAAUCCUCAGAGGAAGGACGGGCUAAGUUCGUGCCAGCAGCCGCGGUAAGACGAACCGUCCAAACGUUAUUCGGAAUCACUGGGCUUAAAGCGUGCGUAGGCGGCCAUGCAAGUUGGGUGUGAAAUCCCUCGGCUCAACCGAGGAAUUGCGCUCAAAACUGCACGGCUUGAGGGAGAUAGAGGUGAGCGGAACUGAUGGUGGAGCGGUGAAAUGCGUUGAUAUCAUCAGGAACACCGGUGGCGAAAGCGGCUCACUGGGUCUUUUCUGACGCUGAGGCACGAAAGCUAGGGUAGCGAAC